GAUGAACGCUGGCGGCGUGCCUAAUACAAGCAAGUCGAGCGAACGGACGAGAAGCUUGCUUCUCUGAUGUUAGCGGCGGACGGGUGAGUAACACGUGGAUAACCUACCUAUAAGACUGGGAUAACUUCGGGAAACCGGAGCUAAUACCGGAUAAUAUUUUGAACCGCAUGGUUCAAAAGUGAAAGACGGUCUUGCUGUCACUUAUAGAUGGAUCCGCGCUGCAUUAGCUAGUUGGUAAGGUAACGGCUUACCAAGGCAACGAUGCAUAGCCGACCUGAGAGGGUGAUCGGCCACACUGGAACUGAGACACGGUCCAGACUCCUACGGGAGGCAGCAGUAGGGAAUCUUCCGCAAUGGGCGAAAGCCUGACGGAGCAACGCCGCGUGAGUGAUGAAGGUCUUCGGAUCGUAAAACUCUGUUAUUAGGGAAGAACAUAUGUGUAAGUAACUGUGCACAUCUUGACGGUACCUAAUCAGAAAGCCACGGCUAACUACGUGCCAGCAGCCGCGGUAAUACGUAGGUGGCAAGCGUUAUCCGGAAUUAUUGGGCGUAAAGCGCGCGUAGGCGGUUUUUUAAGUCUGAUGUGAAAGCCCACGGCUCAACCGUGGAGGGUCAUUGGAAACUGGAAAACUUGAGUGCAGAAGAGGAAAGUGGAAUUCCAUGUGUAGCGGUGAAAUGCGCAGAGAUAUGGAGGAACACCAGUGGCGAAGGCGACUUUCUGGUCUGUAACUGACGCUGAUGUGCGAAAGCGUGGGGAUCAAACAGGAUUAGAUACCCUGGUAGUCCACGCCGUAAACGAUGAGUGCUAAGUGUUAGGGGGUUUCCGCCCCUUAGUGCUGCAGCUAACGCAUUAAGCACUCCGCCUGGGGAGUACGACCGCAAGGUUGAAACUCAAAGGAAUUGACGGGGACCCGCACAAGCGGUGGAGCAUGUGGUUUAAUUCGAAGCAACGCGAAGAACCUUACCAAAUCUUGACAUCCUUUGACAACUCUAGAGAUAGAGCCUUCCCCUUCGGGGGACAAAGUGACAGGUGGUGCAUGGUUGUCGUCAGCUCGUGUCGUGAGAUGUUGGGUUAAGUCCCGCAACGAGCGCAACCCUUAAGCUUAGUUGCCAUCAUUAAGUUGGGCACUCUAAGUUGACUGCCGGUGACAAACCGGAGGAAGGUGGGGAUGACGUCAAAUCAUCAUGCCCCUUAUGAUUUGGGCUACACACGUGCUACAAUGGACAAUACAAAGGGCAGCGAAACCGCGAGGUCAAGCAAAUCCCAUAAAGUUGUUCUCAGUUCGGAUUGUAGUCUGCAACUCGACUACAUGAAGCUGGAAUCGCUAGUAAUCGUAGAUCAGCAUGCUACGGUGAAUACGUUCCCGGGUCU
rnacentral:rRNA from 1 species